rnacentral:rRNA from 1 species
CCUACGGGAGGCUGCAGUGGGGAAUAUUGGGCAAUGGGCGCAAGCCUGACCCAGCAAAGCCGCGUGAAGGAAGAAGGUUCUCGGGUUGUAAAAUUCUUUUAUGAGGGAAGAAAGAAAUGACGGUAACUCAUGAAUAAGCCACGGCUAAAUACGUGCAAGCAGCCGCGGGAAUACGAAGGUGGCAAGCGUUAUGAGGAUUUGCUGGGUUUAAAGGGCGUGUAGGAGGGACUGGUAGGCAGAUGUUAAAAUUAUGGGGUCAACCCAUAACCUGGAUUUGAAACUGUAGUUCUUGAGUGAUGGAGAGGCAGGCGGAAUUCCUGGUGUAGCGGUGAAAUGCUUAGAUAUACGGAGGAACACCAGUGGCGAAGGCGGCCUACUGGACAUUAACGGACGCUGAGGCACGAAAGCGUGGGGAGCAAACACGAUUAGAUACCCCGGUAGUC